AACCUAGCACACCUGCGGUGUGUACCUGCGGAAGGAUCAUUAAUGAGAAACUGCCCCUCGCGGGUAGAUCUCCCACCCUUUGUAAACUUACCUUUGUUGCUUUGGCAGGCCCGUCUCCGGACCGCCGGCUUCGGCUGGCCAGUGCCUGCCAGAGGAUUCUAAAACUCUGUCUGUCAGUGUUGUCUGAGUCUAUAUACAAUCGUUAAAACUUUUAACAAUGGAUCUCAGAUCGGAAGAGCA
rnacentral:misc_RNA from 1 species